rnacentral:rRNA from 1 species
GACGAACGCUGGCGGCGUGCUUAACACAUGCAAGUCGAACGGAAAGGCCCUGCUUUUGUGGGGUGCUCGAGUGGCGAACGGGUGAGUAACACGUGAGUAACCUGCCCUUUACUUUGGGAUAACUUCAGGAAACUGGGGCUAAUACCGGAUAGGAGCUCCUGCUGCAUGGUGGGGGUUGGAAAGUUUCGGCGGUUGGGGAUGGACUCGCGGCUUAUCAGCUUGUUGGUGGGGUAGUGGCUUACCAAGGCUUUGACGGGUAGCCGGCCUGAGAGGGUGACCGGCCACAUUGGGACUGAGAUACGGCCCAGACUCCUACGGGAGGCAGCAGUGGGGAAUAUUGCACAAUGGGCGGAAGCCUGAUGCAGCAACGCCGCGUGCGGGAUGACGGCCUUCGGGUUGUAAACCGCUUUCGCUUGUGACGAAGCGUGAGUGACGGUAAUGGGUAAAGAAGCACCGGCUAACUACGUG